UUCUUCUCCCUUUCAUCACUCUCGUUCCCAAAUAACAUACCUGCCCGCACUUCAAAGACAAUACAGCUUUGCUGCUGCAAGCGCAGGUGAAAUGAGGAAUCCUCUCUCCUGACGAGGUCUGCGGAGGCUGUUUCGUGAGAGAAGAAAGGGACGGAGGGAGGCAAGGACAAGUGGGAGGCACGAGGAGACGGCAAGGGCAAGGGGGGGAUCAGUCCACAGAAGCAACGAACUGGCACUUCUAUGGAAAGCACCCAGCAUGACUGGGACCUCUCCCUUCUCCUCCUGACCUGACUGAUCGCACACUCCUCAGCUUGGAGCACUCUGCAAGUCCCGGGAGAGGUGCACGUCGCAUGCAGCCUUUCGCAGUCCCGGGGGAAGGUCAUGGAUCCAUUCCUCGCAGGCAGCCAAGUGAUUCAGCAAGAGCUACGCCAAGCAUCGGGGAAGAAACCUGCUGUGGGCGUCCCGACCACACGCAGAACUGACGAGCUCUUCCACAGCAGACAACACGGAUGUGGGGAAAAAGGCAGCGUACAAAUUCUUUGAAAGCCACGUGAGCUUAGAUAUCUCAAAUGGCCAAUUUGUUUUUUGUUUUUUGUUUUUUUUUUUAAAAAGUGGGUGAGGAGAAUAAACAUCCCUCUAAAAAAAGGCUCUAGCAAUUACUCCAUACCUUGUAACAGUUCUGUAUCGUUUGUAUAUCCUAAUAAUAUCUAUCGUAAUUCAGAUGUGAAACACAGAAUACAAUAAAGUAUGGCACUACUUCAAGGCAAAUCUA